CACCGCCCGUCACAUCAUGGGAGUUUGUUGCACCAGAAGCAGGUAGCUUAACCGCAAGGGGGGCGCUUGCCACGGUGUGGCCGAUGACUGGGGUG
rnacentral:rRNA from 1 species